rnacentral:ncRNA from 1 species
GGCUCUCCAAGCGGAGAUUAAAAGGGAAUCAGGUGAAAAUCCUGAACAGUCCCGCUGCUGUAAGUUUCCUGAAAUAGUAUCGUUUCACACAAUAUGCCACUGGUAAAUUUCGCUCUCUUUUAGCGACUACAUCACCACCGGGAAGGCGUGAGACGAUGGAAACAAAGUCAGAAUACCUACCUCUACA